UACGGAAGGCAGCAGUGGGGAAUAUUGCACAAUGGGCGAAAGCCUGAUGCAGCUAUGCCGCGUGUAUGAAGAAGGCCUUAGGGUUGUAAAGUACUUUCAUCGGGGAGGAAAAACAAAACUAAUAAUUUUAUUUCUUGACGUUACCCGAAAAAGAAGCACCGGCUAACUCCGUGCCAGCAGCCGCGGUAAUACGGAGGGUGCUAGCGUUAAUCAGAAUUACUGGGCGUAAAGAGCACGUAGGUGGUUUUUUAAGUCAGAUGUGAAAUCCCUGGGCUUAACCUAGGAACUGCAUUUUGAAACUGAAAUACUAGAGUAUCGUAGAGGGAGGUAGAAUUCUAGGUGUAGCGGUGAAAUGCGUAGAUAUCUGGAGGAAUACCUGUGGCGAAAGCGGCCUCCUAAACGAAUACUGACACUGAGGUGCGAAAAGCGUGGGGAGCGAAACAGGGAAUUAGAUACC
rnacentral:rRNA from 1 species